rnacentral:rRNA from 1 species
AUGUCCUUCAGAUUCGUCACGAGGGAUGCGCUGCUCAUUAUCUAUGCAAGUCUAGAUACAAAUUCUGUAACAUUUGAAGAACUGACACGCAUAUGUUUAAUCUGGUCGGUAAUUCAUAAGUCACAAAAAAUGGUAGUAGUAACAUUCAUAAAAAUGCCACUUUCUAGCAGAGUCGACAAAGGGGCAAAAAAUCAGAAAAGUUCUACUGAACUUGUGAUAAAGUCCAUAAAUUGCCUUCAUAAAGUUUUGUACUAUUUUCAUAACCUUCAAAUUCACAUGUACACAAAGUUAUUCAAGGAUUCAUACAAACUACCAGCUAGUUAA